rnacentral:rRNA from 1 species
UGGGGAAUUUUGGACAAUGGGGGAAACCCUGAUCCAGCCAUCCCGCGUGUGCGAUGAAGGCCUUCGGGUUGUAAAGCACUUUUGGCAGGAAAGAAACGUCAUGGGUUAAUACCCCGUGAAACUGACGGUACCUGCAGAAUAAGCACCGGCUAACUACGUGCCAGCAGCCGCGGUAAUACGUAGGGUGCAAGCGUUAAUCGGAAUUACUGGGCGUAAAGCGUGCGCAGGCGGUUCGGAAAGAAAGAUGUGAAAUCCCAGAGCUCAACUUUGGAACUGCAUUUUUAACUACCGGGCUAGAGUGUGUCAGAGGGAGGUGGAAUUCCGCGUGUAGCAGUGAAAUGCGUAGAUAUGCGGAGGAACUCCGAUGGCGAAGGCAGCCUCCUGGGAUAACACUGACGCUCAUGCACGAAAGCGUGGGGAGCAAACAGG